GAUUUCAAUCAUACCAGUGUUAAUGCACUGAAUCCCAUCAGAAAUCUGCAUUUAAGCAUGCUUGGGAUAGAGUAGUACUAAUGUGGGUGACCUCCCAGGAAGUCUAGAAUUCCUAGUGUUUC
rfam:Picea glauca, whole genome shotgun sequence.